rnacentral:lncRNA from 1 species
AAUAGUAUAGGGAUGCGGAGCGGCUACGAUUAGUGAUCCUCGAAGUUUGCGCCCUUUGACUGGAUCAAGCGAUUCGGCUGAUGAGGGAUCGGAUCAACCGAGUUCGAAACUUCUACUGUAGAAUUGGUUCGGUUGGAUGAGCCGAAUGUAAGGACUGAGCAAAAACUAAGGACGGCCGAAGAGCCGAAUGGAUAGAAAAGUACAGUGAUUGGUCGGCUGAG